UUGUUCAAUGAAACGAUAAAUUGCCUGAUAUUAUUUUUGGUAAAUCAUAAUUAUUUAAUUAAUAUAAUAGGAUGAAAUGAGAACUACAAGAGGUGAAAUAAAAAUAUUGUUCAAGGAAAAUUGUUGUUUAGAAAGUCCGAAAGGAAAACAAAAAUGAGAAAAGGAUACACUCUUUUAUAGCAGAUCUAGAGUUAUAAUAAAAGUAUGGUUAUACUAUUGUACACACAAUAUGAUAUGUUUAUUGACACCCUAUUUGAUUUUAUUGUGCUUGUUCCCUGAUUUCUCUCCACGUGGCGAAAUACCAAACACAAGUAUAAAAAUAUUUCUCUCUAGAAAUUUCUAUUCAUGCUUUAAAUAAACAUGAUACCAACUGCCAUCAAAGAGCUCAUCUUCUAGAUUGUCUAGUUGUAGGUUCUAACUGUGCCUGUUGUUUGGCUUCUUUCAAUUUCAGACGCAGAUAACCAGAAUCAGCGCGCAGCGCAUCAUUGACCCAGUUGAGCACUCUGAAGUCACUUGGUGUGCCUCCUUGCAUUCUAGACGACAAUUCUUUAUUUGUUUUCUAGAUUAGUUCAUUAGGAUGUAUGAGGUCUAUCACAACAUCCAUCUCUGUUAUUAGAGGCUUCAUAGACCGAUAGACAGUUAGUAGUUCAGUUUUAGAGUUUGUUGUGCUUUUUAACUUCAUAUGUUUCAAUUAUUGAGACUUAAGUGCUUUUUGGAUAGAUUAUUAUAUUGAUUGUUCCUUUUAAA